CGUAACGCGUAUACAAUCUGCCUUUAAGCGGGGAAUAGCCCAUGGAAACGUGGAUUAAUACCCCAUAGUCUAUAAACUUCACCUGAAGAUUAUAGUAAACAUUUAUGGCUUAAAGAUGAGUAUGCGUCCUAUUAGUUAGUUGGUAAGGUAACGGCUUACCAAGACGGCGAUAGGUAGGGGUCCUGAGAGGGAGAUCCCCCACACUGGUACUGAGACACGGACCAGACUCCUACGGGAGGCAGCAGUGAGGAAUAUUGGACAAUGGAGGCAACUCUGAUCCAGCCAUGCCGCGUGCAGGAAGACGGCCCUAUGGGUUGUAAACUGCUUUUAUACGGGAAGAACCACAUCUACGUGUAGAUGCUUGACGGUACCGUAUGAAUAAGGACCGGCUAACUCCGUGCCAGCAGCCGCGGUAAUACGGAGGGUCCAAGCGUUAUCCGGAAUCAUUGGGUUUAAAGGGUCCGUAGGCGGGAUAAUAAGUCAGUGGUGAAAGUCUGCAGCUCAACUGUAGAAUUGCCAUUGAUACUGUUGUUCUUGAAUUAUUAUGAAGUGGUUGGAAUGAGUAGUGUAGCGGUGAAAUGCAUAGAUAUUACUCAGAACACCUAUUGCGAAGGCAGAUCACUAAUAAUAUAUUGACGCUGAGGGACGAGAGCGUAGGUAGCGAACAGGAUUAGAUACCCUGGUAGUCUACGCCGUAGACGAUGGUUACUAGCUGUUCGGCUCGAUUGAGAGCUGAGUGGUUAAGCGAAAGUGAUAAGUAACCCACCUGGGGAGUACGUUCGCAAGAAUGAAACUCAAAGGAAUUGACGGGGGCCCGCACAAGCGGGGA
rnacentral:rRNA from 1 species